rnacentral:rRNA from 1 species
GAUGAACGCUGGCGGCGUGCCUAAUACAUGCAAGUCGAGCGAACAGACGAGGAGCUUGCUCCUCUGACGUUAGCGGCGGACGGGUGAGUAACACGUGGAUAACCUACCUAUAAGACUGGGAUAACUUCGGGAAACCGGAGCUAAUACCGGAUAAUAUAUUGAACCGCAUGGUUCAAUAGUGAAAGACGGUUUUGCUGUCACUUAUAGAUGGAUCCGCGCCGCAUUAGCUAGUUGGUAAGGUAACGGCUUACCAAGGCUACGAUGCGUAGCCGACCUGAGAGGGUGAUCGGCCACACUGGAACUGAGACACGGUCCAGACUCCUACGGGAGGCAGCAGUAGGGAAUCUUCCGCAAUGGGCGAAAGCCUGACGGAGCAACGCCGCGUGAGUGAUGAAGGUCUUCGGCUCGUAAAACUCUGUUAUUAGGGAAGAACAAAUGUGUAAGUAACUAUGCACGUCUUGACGGUACCUAAUCAGAAAGCCACGGCUAACUACGUG